UACGAAGGGGGCUAGCGUUGCUCGGAAUCACUGGGCGUAAAGGGUGCGUAGGCGGGUCUUUAAGUCAGGGGUGAAAUCCUGGAGCUCAACUCCAGAACCGCCUUUGAUACUGAGGAUCUUGAGUUCGGGAGAGGUGAGUGGAACUGCGAGUGUAGAGGUGAAAUUCGUAGAUAUUCGCAAGAACACCAGUGGCGAAGGCGGCUCACUGGCCCGAUACUGACGCUGAGGCACGAAAGCGUGGGGAGCAAACGGG
rnacentral:rRNA from 1 species